rnacentral:piRNA from 1 species
UGGCAUGCUGGUGUCUUGAUGAUCGGUUAU